CCUCUAAAAAUCACCUCGGCCUAGAUAGCCGAGAGACCAAGGAACAAAUGUCCUUCUCGAUGAAUAGAUUGUGGAGCGUGCCAGCACACGGCCAGAAGGCCAAGUGUGCAAUUGUAGUUGUUGUAGAUGUAGUUCUGACUUAUCAAGCAAUUGUUGGCCGAGGAAGGAACUGAUUCUCGGCCGAUAGUUCGUUGCCUUUGGAUCAAGGACUUGAUGGCUGAAGGUCGGGUGAAUUGGGUGUGGUUGUGAGAGUAUGAGUGAAUACGAAUUGUCUGGUCACAGGGCUUAAGUUAAUUGGAUUCAAGUAAUAACAAGUAACAGUAAAAGUGAACUCGUAACGAAUGAAAUCUUCAAGAUUGAUAGCUACUAUGCGACUACGAACAGUAAAUAACAUGAUCAAACAAGUAAAGCAUAAAGACAAUAAGGAGCAAAUCAAAUAUAAUAACAACGAAACUAAAAUCUGGAAUGACUGAAAAUUAUUAACUAUUGUUUGAAAGAAAACAAAGAGAACAAUUCAAAAUCGAUACUAGGCUACAAGGAAAUUAAAGCAACUGAAAUUGUAACUAGCAGAGCAAACAAACUAAGGAAACAGACGGAAAUUCUACCUAAGCAAAAGGUAAGACGAAAACAAGAAAAGCUUGAUGGCUUGAGUUUCUGGAGUUGUGUGUGUGUAAUGUCUUCUGUCGAUGCUUCUGUACAUACCAUCUAUAUUACAUACCGCCAAGCAUAAUCAACGACCUCAUAGGUGGGCCCCACGACAUGGCUAGCCCCGCCUAUGGCAUGCAUCCGGUAGGCCGACACCCAAGCUACGUUGUCAUGGUGGAGGUCGGUCGGUACCUCGUAGGGAGGCCACCUUCCCAUGCUCUCCAAGAGGCUUCAAGAGAAGCAAUAUAUGUAUUAUAGUCCCACAUCGAGGAUAUGUAAAUAGAGUGGGACUUCCCUUAGCUAUAAAGGGAAGUCCUCCCAUUCUUAGAAGGGAUGGAUCCAUGAUCCCCACACUUGUAUCACUACAAAGGUCACUUGACCUUACUCAUAGUAAAAUAUCUAAAUGGACGUAGCCUUGCCCCAAGUGCAAGGUGAACCACUAUACAUCCGGUGUCAUCUCUCUCUCUCUCCCCAUCAUGCUUCUUAGUUACCGUAUUCUUCAGUAGAAACAUUGGCGCUAGAAGGAGGGUCCCUAAGUUUGGGUAACGAGCCUCCGACCUUGAGCAAGAGUCAUGGAUGGGUACCACGAGUCAUGUACGGGUACCAAAGGUCAUCGGGUACAUGGGUACAUGCCGGACACCCCUCUCAUGGGUCUUAUGAGCUCUUGGAGGUGGACAGGUCAGAAGCUUCAGUACCUAGAACUCUCAGCCAACUCUCAAGGUCCCGAUCAUCGAGCAUCACUUCUCUCAGCAAGGUACUUGAGAUGCUUCAGGCAAUCGACAUCUCACCGGUACCCUGCUCUCACCGGUUCCCGCUGUCCUCUCACCGGUACCCCCCUGCCAUCACCGGUUCCCGCUGUCCUCUCACCGGUACCCCGCUGCCAUCACCGGUUCCCGCUGUCCUCUCACCGGUACCCCUGCUCUCACCGGUACCCCGCUGCCAUCACCGGUUCCUGCUGCCAUCACCGAUACCAGUAGACCACCGUGUCAAAUAUCAUCCGUACCAGCUAUCCAACCCGGAGAUAGGUACCUGCAUCCUCUGGUCUCCUUCACUCCGGGAACCAAAAAAAAAAAAAAAGGUGGAGAAGAGAAUUUAGUUCGGAGUUUCUUUCUCCUUGGUCUACAAACUCGACAGUAGCUCCAUGUACCAAUGGCUAGUCCCGGUCGCUGGCAGUCCGAGUCCACUUCUCAUCUCUGCCCUCCUCGCCUCCCGACUAGAUACCGGCAGCACCUGCACUUCCUAAUAGCAGCUUCGCUCCCCAUGCCAGCACUUCACCUCACGUGCCAAUCAAUCUGCCUCCGGCACCCGGAACAUCCCUCCCGGCAUCAAUUCUGCCACUCGGCAUCGGUACUUUGCGAGAACUUCAGCGUGGUGGUUUCAUCGGUACUUUGCUUAAUGCAUACUCAGCGGUAUCUCAAAAAAAAAAAAAAAAAACUCUGGGCACCGGGGGACUUAUUUGGACACCCAAUCCGUCCGGGACUGGUUUGGAACACCUUCAUUGGCCAUCACAACUUCAUCUGCAGGGCUCUUGCUUUCACCAGUACCCCUGCCAUCACCGGUACCUGCUGGCCUCCUUCACCCACUACUCUCCGGAAAUCAGACACGUCCGGGGUUUCAAAAAAAAAAAAAAAAAAAAAAAAAAUU